CGCCUCCUGCUCCUAUUUCGGUCAAGGUACCAACUCCUGCUCCUGUUCCCGUCAAGGUACCACCAACUCCUGCUCCUGUCCAAGUUAAGGUACCACCACCUCCGGCUCCUGUCUCAGUUAAGUUACCACCACCUCCAGCUCAUGUCCCAGUUAAGUUACCACCACCUCCGGCUUCGCCAGUCAAGCCACCGGUUAUGCCGCCACCAACUUCCGUUCCUCAGCCCCCACCACGAAACAC
rnacentral:lncRNA from 1 species